rnacentral:rRNA from 1 species
ACUCAAAGGAAUAGACGGGGGCCCGCACAAGCGGUGGAGCAUGUGGUUCAAUUCGACGCAACGCGAAGAACCUUACCUGGGCUCGAACGGCUUUGGAUCAUCCUUGGAAACAGGGACUUCUCGCAAGAGACCGGAGUCGAGGUGCUGCAUGGCUGUCGUCAGCUCGUGUCGUGAGAUGUUGGGUUAAGUCCCGCAACGAGCGCAACCCUUGUCCUGUGUUGCCAUCAUUUAGUUGGGCACUCUCAGGAGACCGCCAGCGAUAAGCUGGAGGAAGGUGGGGAUGAUGUCAAGUCAUCAUGGCCUUUAUGUCCAGGGCUACACACGUGCUACAAUGGACGGUACAAACCGCUGCAAACCCGCGAGGGGGAGCCAAUCGGAAAAAACCGUUCUCAGUUCGGAUCGCAGGCUGCAACCCGCCUGCGUGAAGCUGGAAUCGCUAGUAAUGGUGUAUCAGAAUGAUACCGUGAAUACGUUCCCGGGCCUUGUACACACCGCCCGU